AAAAGGCGUCAGUUCGAACCCUACUGGCUCUAUUUCACUUCCCUUUCCCUUUUUUUUAGGUCGCCGCCCCUGGUGGCAGAGGUCUUCACACUUGCGUGGUGGCUCUCCCUGCUCUCAACGCGUUAGCUGACCCUCCGGUCACCUCAUGACGGCGACGAGAGGUUUUUUCAGUUUUUGAGUAGCAGACCAACAACCAACACCGUGAAGGGAAGCCGGGUUCCGGCAGCGGCGAUGGGAGUGUUCAAGAUUCGAAUGAUUGCCAGAUAAUGUGAUUCGAUGGCUUAGUGUUGAAGAUCAAAGACAUUUGAAUUUAACACCGAAAUGCUAGCUUAAUUACCUCACACUUUCCAUUUGCAACUACUAGGAAUAUACCAACUUUGGUGUGCCAUCCUUUGGUGUAGACUUUCUGAUUGAGAUAACUCAUUGUUGUAUGCCUGAAUCCCCGGAUCUCUUGAUUUUCUCUUAAUUUUUCUGUAACUCAAGCAAAAAAUGAGGGUAACUGAAAAGAUUCUUGAAUAUACGUUGGUCGGAAUUCAGAUAGAUCAGGCUAGACGAUAUUCAUAAUGUUAUGGCUUUUCAUGGUGAUCCUCCACGUGGUCAGCAUAAGUUUGUUCUAAUCCAGGGUGGGGUACUGGGGUUGUCUGUGCUCUAGACCUGGUAUGUAUCACAAUCUCAAUGUUUUGUUACAUUUGGAUUUGUGAUUUAGAAGUAUAACUGAUCGGCACAACUUUGGUGAUCAAAUAGGCACUAGAUUUUUACAAUAUGCUGGAGAUACUAAACUCCAAGCAAAGUAUUAAGAACACCAUCAUAAAGCAUAUUGUAAGAGAUACAAUGCACCAUGUACAAGUGAAUGUCCAUAUCUCUUGAUUUUUCUGUAAGUCAAGUAAAAAGUGGAGUAUACUUUUGGAUGAAGUCUGUGUUUUGAUUAGUUAGUUACUGUUUCA